GCUGCGGUUGCCCAGUUGGUAGUGGCGUCAGCAGUACAAAUGCCGAAAGUCGCAGGUUCAAAUCCUGCCUGUGGUG